GAUGAACGCUGGCGGCGUGCUUAACACAUGCAAGUCGAACGAAGCACUUUAUUUGAUUUCCUUCGGGACUGAUUAUUUUGUGACUGAGUGGCGGACGGGUGAGUAACGCGUGGGUAACCUGCCUUGUACAGGGGGAUAACAGUUGGAAACGGCUGCUAAUACCGCAUAAGCGCACAGCAUCGCAUGAUGCAGUGUGAAAAACUCCGGUGGUAUAAGAUGGACCCGCGUUGGAUUAGCUUGUUGGUGGGGUAACGGCCCACCAAGGCGACGAUCCAUAGCCGGCCUGAGAGGGUGAACGGCCACAUUGGGACUGAGACACGGCCCAGACUCCUACGGGAGGCAGCAGUGGGGAAUAUUGCACAAUGGGGGAAACCCUGAUGCAGCGACGCCGCGUGAAGGAAGAAGUAUCUCGGUAUGUAAACUUCUAUCAGCAGGGAAGAUAGUGACGGUACCUGACUAAGAAGCCCCGGCUAACUACGUGCCAGCAGCCGCGGUAAUACGUAGGGGGCAAGCGUUAUCCGGAUUUACUGGGUGUAAAGGGAGCGUAGACGGUGUGGCAAGUCUGAUGUGAAAGGCAUGGGCUCAACCUGUGGACUGCAUUGGAAACUGUCAUACUUGAGUGCCGGAGGGGUAAGCGGAAUUCCUAGUGUAGCGGUGAAAUGCGUAGAUAUUAGGAGGAACACCAGUGGCGAAGGCGGCUUACUGGACGGUAACUGAC
rnacentral:rRNA from 1 species